rnacentral:rRNA from 1 species
UACGUAGGCAGCAAGCGUUGUUCGGAGUUACUGGGCGUAAAGAGUGCGUAGGCGGUUUCGUAAGUUUGGUGUGAAAUGUCCCGGCUUAACUGGGAGGGUGCGCCGAAAACUGCGGGGCUGGAGUAUGGGAGAGGUAAGCGGAAUUCCUGGUGUAGCGGUGAAAUGCGUAGAUAUCAGGAGGAACACCGGCGGUGUAGACGGCUUACUGGACCAUGACUGACGCUGAGGCACGAAAGCGUGGGGAGCAAACAGG